UGCUUGAAGAGAAUUUCUGGGCUUCAUGAAUCUCAUCUGCAAGAAGAUGAAUCCACUGUGGUUCUUCCUCUUUCUGGUGUCAGCUCCCAGAGGUGCCCUGUCCCAGGUGCAGCUGCAGGAGUCGGGACCCAGCCUGGUGAAGCCCUCACAGACCCUCUCCCUCACCUGCACUGUCUCUGGAUUCUCAUUAACCAGCUAUGGUGUAGCCUGGGUCCGACAGCCUCCAGGAAAGGGGCUGGAGUGGGUUGGUAACAUGUGGAAUGAUGGAGACACAUAUUAUAACCCAACUCUUAAGUCCCGGCUCAGCAUCACCAGGGACACCUCCAAGAGCCAAGUCUACUUAUCGCUGAGCAGCCUGACAACUGAGGACACAGCCGUGUAUUACUGUGCAAGAGACACACCCAUGGCAUUGUGACAACUGGUUACCUGGGGCCAGGGGCUCCUGGUCACCGUCUCCUCAG